CAUUUAUUCAACCAUUUCUUCAUCCAACAGACUUGUUUUUAAAGAAUCUGCCCCGACCCUGGUGCUUCUCCUGCAGCGGAGCUACGGAGAGUGAUGGAAUCCCGUCCUUACUUUCCACGGGCUACCUGCUUCAUGGGAGAGCCGUAGAAUGAGGCCUAUUGGAGUAAAUGCCAUCAUCAGCAAAGAAGAGCAAGGGGAGUGUAUCCAAUGAGGUGAGGAACCAUCAGAGACCUUAAAAGCAUACUCCUACCCAGCCAAAGAGGAUGUUUUAAAAUGAUUUUAUUCAAUAACGAGAGGAAGUAAAACCAGUAAGAGAAUACAGAUGCAUUCCUCUUGUAGACUUUCCUGGAAAAACAGCAGGAACUGCGUCACAAAAGGUCACUAAGAAAAAUUACUGAAUGGAAAACCAUAAGACUAGAAAUGUCAGCUCUGCCGAAGUUUGCUGUGUGGCCCUGGACACGUCAUUUCAUCACGCAGAACGGAGGAAGGUCUGAAAUAUUUUCCCAGUGUAAAGAUAACAUGAGAACCUGGUGAGCCAGCCUCCUAAUGUUCUUCAAAGCCCUAGUCCUGGGACUCCUGUUUUUCCCGUGGCUCAUGGGCAAUAUAGAAAAUGUACUCAUCCCAGCUAGAUGACUAGCUGACUCUCGAGACUUGUCAGAUGGGCCUCCUUCCAGAGAACCAUUCGUGCGAGGUGCUAGUGAAUGCCGCUAGGAUAGAGCUGGAAUUUCACCCGGUUUAGAGAGUAAGUUGUUGG